rnacentral:rRNA from 1 species
GACGAACGCUGGCGGCGUGCCUAAUACAUGCAAGUCGAACGCAGUGGGGACGGGUGAGUAACCCGUGGGUAACCUCCCCUCAGAGGUGAUAACACUUGGAAACAGGUGCUAAACCGAUACUGAUGGAUGGACCCGCGGUGCAUUAGCUAGUUGGUGAGGUAACGGCUCACCACGGCCACGAUGCGUAGCCGACUAGAGAGGGUGAUCGUGCACACUGUGACGGAGACACGGCCCAGACUCCUACGGGAGGCAGCAGUAGGGAAUCUGCGGCAAUGGACGAAAGUCUGACCGAGCAACGCCGCGUGAGUGAAGAAGGUUUUCGGAUCGUAAAACUCUGUUGUUAGAGAAGCGGUAUCUAACCAGAAAGCCACGGCUAACUACGUGCCAGCAGCCGCGGUAAUUC